UCAUUACUUAAUAAUUCAUCAAAAACAGAAGCAGGGAAAAUCCCAGCAAGCAAUUAUGUUUAAAUUACAUUCAUUUUGGCAGAAGUUUGCCAAAAAUGACUUUUGUCCAUGUAGAUGUGUCAGGGGUAAUACUUGGAAUGAGAACCUGAGCUCAGACAAACAACCUGCUCUGCCCCCAGAGAUAUACCUGCUGCAUUUAAUAAGAAGCUCAGGUGAUAAGGCAUCCUGUACCAAAACAUAAUUUAUAAAGUCAGGACCUGAUCUAGAGGCAGCUGUGUGCCCAGCAACAUUUUCCCAGCAGGGUGACUGAUGGAGUAUUGUGAAGACACAUCAGGAACACGGUCAGUUCUGUCUCAGAGUGGGCGCCUAAUGAAGGUGUAAAAUUUUAUGCAUGUGUUUGUUUAUGCCUGUGGAUGCAACUGUGUGGGUCCUUUCCUCCUGAAGUGUGUUAACUCUUUCCUUAUCCCAUCUUGGCCUACUGAACUGCCCUUCCUGCUAAGACACUUCACAGUGGAAUUGUAUCUAAAUCAGGUGAGGUGCUGGGUUCAAUCUGUAGUACAAAAGUAUAGUUCACCCUGCACUGGGAGAAAAUUACAACAUUUAACCAUAGAAAAUAAGAAAUACAAAAUACAUAUAAGAGGUGGACUGGCUAAAGUUUGAGGAAGGAAUUUGCUUCAUUAUGUGCCUUCAAACAGAGCUAAAAAUCAUGGCAGUUGUCAGGAGAUCAUUAUCCCCACGCCCAUGCCCCUGGUUCUCUCUGAAAGCCUCAAAGAAAGUCCUGAAAUGGGUUACAGGCCACAAUUCAUACUUUGGUGCCUCAAGCUUUAAAGGGUUAAAAAAAAAAAAAAAAAAAAGCCAAAACACAUUUUCACAAUACAGUUACAUACGUGGGAUAAAUGACUGAUUACAACUGCUGUCUCUGUAGUUGCUUUAAAAAGAAAUAAUAACAAUGGACCUGAAACUAUAUCAUCAUUCAAAAUACGAGGGUGUGAAUAUAUAAACAUGAAAUCAUUAUUUAUGAUUUGAACUCACAAAAACAUUAGCUGAACUCAUAAAACCAACCCUGACAUUAGAGAAGCAUGUUCCUCUUCAGUGGACACACAGUGUGCAAACGUUUUUC
ensembl:lncRNA